UACGUAGGGUGCAAGCGUUUAAUCGGAAUUACUGGGCGUAAAGCGUGCGCAGGCGGUUGUGCAAGACAGAUGUGAAAUCCCCCGGGCUUAACCUGGGAACUGCAUUUGUGACUGCAUGGCUAGAGUACGGUAGAGGGGGAUGGAAUUGCCGCGUGUAGCAGUGAAAUGCGUAGAUAUGCGGAGGAACACCGAUGGCGAAGGCAAUCCCCUGGACCUGUACUCGA
rnacentral:rRNA from 1 species